GAUGCAUACAUCAAAGAAUUCAUGACAUCAAAUUAGUCGCAGGUAGGUCUAAUCUCUACAAAAACAUACACUUACUGUGUGGUAUUUGUGAUUUUAUUAUGUCAUUCAGGAAAAGUCAAACGUUCAGCAAGUCAUUUUGUCUUUAUUAAUGCACCACAGCUAUUAUCUGUCCACCAUAUAAAGAUCUUGUGAACCAGAAUACAGACUGUAAGAGACAGAAGCAGCAAAAAACAUCGUCAAACUUACCUCAGAAGAUGUCGUCGCGACCAGAUGUUUUACAAAAACUAUGCAAAUUCCUGAAAACAUCUGCUGUUUUCAGCUCUUUCCCAUUGAGCCUUUUGUUAAUCGGAUCAGAGGCUGUGAUGGAUCAACACUUCUCAUGCCCGUGUAGAUCUGAUCUGAAUGCACUGCUAACAGCGUCCAUCUUCACUGGACCUGCUCUUUUCACUUUUGCUUUAAUGUUCCGCCAUUUAAGGCCGCUUACACAUGGAUGGUUUCAUUGUCCUGAAGGAGUGAAUGAUGAUACUCAGAAGAACUGUUUUAAAGUUCUCACAUCGUGUCUGAUUCCACCUGUCAUGUGGAUCUUUGUCUUGUUACUUGAUGGAGAUUAUGUUGCUUGCAGCAUGACAGACUGGAAGGGGCUUUAUAUGUUUGAUAAGGAGCUAAAUACAUCAUGGUGUAAACCUGCCGAAGGGACGAAAAAUGAGGCAGAGCUACGAGAUUUGACUAGGAAAUAUAUUCAUCAAUCUCAGUUUUCAGGUUAUGUUGUGAUCUCUGUCUUCAGUGCCUUAGCGAUUGUUUUGGUGGGCAUUUAUGACAGCUGCUGAAGUGGAAAGUGUGACCGCUGCCCAAAUCGACUGUUAUCCUACUGCGGACGAACAGAUUCAGAGACACACAGUGGAGGAAAUGACACAGGACAGGAUGAUGUACCACUUGAUACUCUCCCUGCCACUUCUUCCAGAACUACAGAUCCAAAUGUAUAAAUUGCACUAAGAGAAGAAAACUUAUUUUUGCUAUUUCAGAGCAAGAAUAAACAGCUACAUUUUUAAGGUGCAGUCACAUUAGCAAAAUUUUACUAGCAAAAAAGA